UCCAGGUCACUUGGGGUUGAACUCUUCCCCUGUGUGGGUUAUGAGUCUUGGCCCCAGUCUCGGUUCCCGGCUCAUCUCAUCAUUAAACCUUGUGUGAUUGCUGCAAGAACGGUCUCUCUUUUACAGGUCCAUAGGUGGAAGGAAGCUGGUGUAUUUUAGAGUUUACCCAGGAGCUUCACUGGUACCCAGAACUGACUGAGAUGGUGAAAGAACAGGAUGUAAAGGCCUCAGCUACUGUUCCAAAGCCAUGCCCGUCUGAUUUCCACAUUGAUAAUCAUGGACUAAACCUAUAUAACUUCCCUUUUAAGUUGUAUGCUAAUUGAUGAACACAGAAAAGAAAUAAAGCAUAUAUUUACUUUA